GAUGAAGAACGUAGCGAAAUGCGAUAAGUAAUGUGAAUUGCAGAAUUCAGUGAAUCAUCGAAUCUUUGAACGCACAUUGCGCCCGUCAGUAUUCUGGCGGGCAUGCCUGUUCGAGCGUCAUUACGCCCCUCAAGUCCCCUGUGGACUUGGUUUUGGGGAUCGGCGAGGCUGGUUUUCCAGCACAGCCGUCCCUUAAAUUAAUUGGCGGUCUCGCCGUGGCCCUCCUCUGCGCAGUAGUAAAACACUCGCAACAGGAGCCCGGCGCGGUCCACUGCCGUAAAACCCCCCAACUUUUUAUAGUUGACCUCGAAUCAGGUAGGACUACCCGCUGAACUUAAGCAUAUCAAUAAGCGGAGGA
rnacentral:misc_RNA from 1 species